rnacentral:rRNA from 1 species
UUGACCUCGGAUCAGGUAGGAAUACCCGCUGAACUUAAGCAUAUCAAUAAGCGGAGGUCGCGUUCUUAA